rnacentral:rRNA from 1 species
UACGUAGGGGGCAAGCGUUGUCCGGAUUUAUUGGGCGUAAAGAGCGUGUAGGCGGCCAGAUAGGUCUGUUGUGAAAACUCGAGCUCAACCUCGAGACGCCGAUGGAAACUAAUUUGGCUAGAGUCCGGAAGAGGAGAGUGGAAUUCCUGGUGUAGCGGUGAAAUGCGCAGAUAUCAGGAAGAACACCCGUGGCUAAGGCGGCUCUCUAGUACGGUACUGACGCUGAGACGCGAAAGCGUGGGGAGCGAACAGG